UCGUCAGGUGGGAUAAUCCUUACCUGUUCCUCCUUUUGGAGGGCAGAUAGAACAUGAUGAUUGGAGUUCGCAUGAUGCGUGAUUAGCGUCUCUGCGUAAUCAGGACUUGCAACACCCUGAUUGCUCCUAUCUGAU
rnacentral:snoRNA from 14 species